rnacentral:rRNA from 1 species
AGUGAACGCUGGCGGUAGGCCUAACACAUGCAAGUCGAACGGCAGCACAGUAAGAGCUUGCUCUUACGGGUGGCGAGUGGUGGACGGGUGAGGAAUACAUCGGAAUCUACUUUUUCGUGGGGGAUAACGUAGGGAAACUUACGCUAAUACCGCAUACGACCUACGGGUGAAAGCAGGGGAUCUUCGGACCUUGCGCGAUUGAAUGAGCUGAUGUCGGAUUAGCUAGUUGGCGGGGUAAAGGCCCACCAAGGCGACGAUCCGUAGCUGGUCUGAGAGGAUGAUCAGCCACACUGGAACUGAGACACGGUCCAGACUCCUACGGGAGGCAGCAGUGGGGAAUAUUGGACAAUGGGCGCAAGCCUGAUCCAGCCAUACCGCGUGGGUGAAGAAGGCCUUCGGGUUGUAAAGCCCUUUUGUUGGGAAAGAAAAGCAGCAGGUUAAUACCCCGCUGUUCUGACGGUACCCAAAGAAUAAGCACCGGCUAACUUCGUG